CAUGUCUUUUUGAUAAUAAUUUAAAGUCUAAUCUGCUCAAUGAGGAAUUAAAUUGCCGCGGUAUUUUGACCGUGCAAAGGUAGCAUAAUAAUUAGCUUCUUUAUUGGUAGCUGGAAUGAAUGAUUUGACGAGAAAAUAACUGUCUCUUUUUGAUUUAUUUUUGAAUUUAAUUUUUAAGUAAAAAAGCUUAAUUGUUUAUUAUAGACGAGAAGACCCUAUAGAGUUUAAUUAUUGAUUAUUCUUAGUUUUUUGGUAUUUAAUGAUUGGGGCUAAAAUUAAUUAUUUGGUUGGGGUGAUCAGAAGAUUUAUUAAACUCUUCUAUUUAAAAUCAUUAAUUUCUGAUUGUAUAAUCUAGUUUUAUUAAAUUUAAUAUAAAUUACCUUAGGGAUAACAGCGUAAUUUUUCUUAAAGUUCUUAUUGAAAGAAGAGUUUGCGACCUCGAUGUUGGAUUAAAAUUUAUUUUUGGUGCAGAAGCUGAAAUAUUAAGUCUGUUCGACUUUUAAAAUUUUACAUGAUCUGAGU
rnacentral:rRNA from 1 species